ensembl:snRNA U2 U2 spliceosomal RNA
AUCGCUUCUUGGCCUUUUGGCUAAGAUCAAGUGUAGUAUCAGAAAGCGUAUCUGUGGGGCCGGUACCUUGU